rnacentral:rRNA from 1 species
CACGUAGGGGGCGAGCGUUGUCCGGAUUUAUUGGGCGUAAAGAGCUCGUAGGCGGCUCGGUAAGUCAGGUGUGAAAACUCUAGGCUCAACCUAGAGACGCCACCUGAUACUGCUGUGGCUAGAGUCCGGUAGGGGAGCAUGGAAUUCCUGGUGUAGCGGUGGAAUGCGCAGAUAUCAGGAGGAACACCGAUGGCGAAGGCAGGUCUCUGGGCCGCAACUGACGCUGGGGAGCGAAAGCAUGGGGAGCGAACAGG